ACGACCUUACUUGAACAGGAUCUGUUCUAUAGGCUCGUACCUCUGUUUCCUUGAGUUCUAAGGAGACAGGAAACCAAACCUGGUGGAUGAAUCAUGACCGUGCGAUCAGAGCGUGAUUAACGGCUAGAUCUUCUUCGGAUGGUCACGGCUGUAGAUGAUCGUUCUCAGCUAGUUCUCUAGCCUGGGGUGGUCGCACGGUUGUCUGACAGGCU